UCAUUUUACAAAUAGGCUUUUGUGCUUUCUUGUUCAUUGACAAAUGGUGUAUCUUGAGCCAGAACACCUUUCUGCAUCAACUUUGAAAAUGUGGACUCAGGUUCCCUCCAGAUUGUCCCACAGGUCACAUUUGAAGGUGAAUUCAAAGUUUUCUUUCCAAGUUACAGUAAAGCUGAAACCUUUCUUAAACCACAGCAAUCCUAGUAGCAAUUUACUGUUUAAUUGCAAUUUCAGCCUUGGCUGACCGGCUGUGGCCCUACAUAUGGAUUUGAGGCUGAGGAGCUGAAGUCUAUCAUCAGUUAACCACACUGUCUGCUUUGCGCCGAGUGUGUGUGUUUGUGUGGAGGUAGAGGAGAGCCCUUAGAUUCUGGAUAAUAUGCUCUUCUGCUGCCUGAAAGCACUGCUGCUUUUAGGCUCAAAAUUAGAGUGCUCAACUGCCAAACAUGCAUCCGUGGUCUCAAACCACCACAGAAACAGACUGGUUACAUUUAUACGCUCUCAAGAGCCUCUCGGUGGAGGCCAACAAAACACUGGAUGCCACAAAGGGGAGCGAAACUCAUUUGAAACAUCUUAUUUUGUGCGUAGAUGUGUCUCACUCUGUUCUUCUAGGAGCCCUGAGGGAAACGGUAGUUUGGACACACUGAACGUAUUCUUUUCAAAUGUGAAACCUCUCUUAGAUCUGCAGAAUUUGGCUCCGGCCACGGAUUUGAAUUCCCACGGACGGUGGUAAUUAUGUUAAGUGGUAUUUGUAUCUGUGCUCUCUUUUUUCUCUGCCUCUUACUGUCUCUCUUUCAGGGUUUUUGCUGUGGAAGGGCUGUGCUGCAGGUGUUUUGGGGCCGGCGGAGAGUUUGCAGAAUGAAUCAGAGGUUUAUUAAACAGCAGCCAAAAACCAGAGAUGAGAUGAGAAGCCAACAGAAAAGGAGCGAGCGAAGAGAGGAUGAGAUGAAAGAAUCUGGAACGCAGUUUACUCUACAUCUGAAGCCUACCGACGUACGCUGCAAGCUAUCGCACAAACUGGUAACAAUGGAAAAGCCGUUCACACAGAGACUCAUACGUGGGUGUUUCUUCAACUAUGGGCACUUUUGCCCCUGAGGACUUCUGGAAAAUAAAGUCUCUUAAAUCUC